UACAGAGGUCUCGAGCGUUGUUCGGAUUCAUUGGGCGUAAAGGGCGCGUAGGCGGCGGGGUAAGUCUGGUGUGAAAUCUAGGAGCUCAACUCCUAAACUGCACUGGAUACUGCUCUGCUAGAGGACUGGAGAGGAGACUGGAAUUCACGGUGUAGCAGUGAAAUGCGUAGAUAUCGUGAGGAAGACCAGUGGCGAAGGCGGGUCUCUGGACAGUUACUGACGCUGAGGCGCGAAGGCCAGGGGAGCAAACGGG
rnacentral:rRNA from 1 species